rnacentral:rRNA from 1 species
AGUCAAGAAAGCAAGGGCACAAGGUGGAUGCCUUGGCACAUGAAGGCGAAAAAGGACGUAAGUGAACGAAAACUAGGGUGAGCUCACAAAAAGCAUUGACCCCUAGGUCUCCGAAUGGGGCAACCCGGUUGUGGAAGACACAAUCAUUACUAAGUGAAUACAUAGCUUAGUAAGGCGAAACCCUGCGAACUGAAACAUCUAAGUAGCAGGAGGAAAAGAAAGAAACAUCGAUUUUCUAAGUAGCGGCGAGCGAACGGAAAAGAGCCUAACUCAUAAGCGAUUUAAUAAUGUUAGUCAAAUUAUCUGAAAAGAUAAACCAAAGAAAGUGAAAGUCUUGUAGACGAAAACAUUAAUAAACGAGAGGGAAAGUAUCACCGGGCACGAGUAACCCGGUGUGAAGAUAGGGGGCCCAUCCCCUAAGGCUAAAUACUAACAUGUGACCGAUAGUGAACAAGUACCGUGAGGGAAAGGUGAAAAGAACCCCGAAAGGGGAGUGAAAUAGAACCUGAAACCUAGUGCCUACAAGCAGACAGAGCGUGAGCGAACGUGAUGUCGUACCUUUUGUAGAAUGGGCCAGCGAGUUAUUCUAAAUUGCAAGGUUAAUGAUUUAAGAUCAGAAGCCGCAGCGAAAGCGAGUCUUAAUAGGGCGAAAGUAAGUUAGAAUAGACCCGAAACCGGGUGAUCUAUCCAUGGUCAGAGUGAAGUUGAAGUAAAAUUCAAUGGAGGCUCGAACCGGGUGCGGUUUAAAACGCAUCGGAUGAACUGUGGAUAGGGGCGAAAAACCAAACGAACCCGGAGAUAGCUGGUUCUCCUCGAAAUAGCUUUAGGGCUAGCCUCUGACCUAAGAUUUUAGGAGGUAGAGCACUGAAUGGUCUAGGGCGGGUUACCGUACCAAAACCUAUCAAACUCCGAAUGCCAAAAAAUCAAGUCAGGGAGUCAGACUUAGGGGGAUAAGCUUCUAAGUCGAAAGGGAAACAGCCCAGACCGACAGCUAAGGUCCCAAAAUUUGAAUUAAGUGGAAAAGGAUGUGAAUCUACUAAGACAACCAGGACGUUGGCUUAGAAGCAGCCAUGCAUUUAAAGAAUGCGUAAUAGCUCACUGGUCAAGUGGGUUUGCGCCGAAAAUUAUUUAACAAAAACAGAAGAGAUUAAAAAGAAAUACAAAUUUCAGACGCAGACAUAAAAGAUAGGAUAUUAAAGAAAAAUAUUCAAAAAAAACACAAGUCUAAAGUCAAAAGUGAGUAACAUAAGAAAUUAUGAACUAACAAUCACUGGUUAGAGUUAAAAACUAGGACUCAUAGCUAAACUUAAUACCUCUAUUAGUGGUAGAGGAGCAUUGUAUUAGAGACGAAGCCAAGGCGAAAGCAAAAGUGGAUCUAAUACAAGAGAGAAUGCUGGCAUGAGUAGCGAGAAGGGAUGUGAGAAUCAUCCCCGUCGAAACCCUAAGGACUCCUGAGCAAGGCUCGUCCCCUCAGGGAAAGUCGGGACCUAAGCCAAGGCCGAAAGGCGUAGGCGAUGGAUAACAGGUUUAUAUUCCUGUACCGCUUGAAGUCGAUAUGAGAGAAGUGAUGACGCAAAAGGAUAAGCAAAGCCAUCAGAUGGAAAAGAUGGUCUAAAGCCGUAGGAAGAAAAGUAGGCAAAUCCGCUUUUCACAAAUUCUAAAAGCCGAUAGGUAUCGAAAACAUAAGUAGAGAAGUUGCCGAUUCCAGGUUGCCAAGAAAAGUCACUAUCCAGACCAAAGCGCCCGUACCAAAACCGACACAGGUAGGGAGGUAGAGAAUACCAAGACGCGCGGAAGAACCUUUGUUAAGGAACUCGGCAAAAUGUCCCC